rnacentral:rRNA from 1 species
UGAAUAAGCUGGCACCUUGACGGUACCUAACCAGAAAGCCACGGCUAACUACGUGCCAGCAGCCGCGGUAAUACGUAGGUGGCAAGCGUUAUCCGGAAUUAUUGGGCGUAAAGCGCGCGCAGGUGGUUUCUUAAGUCUGAUGUGAAAGCCCACGGCUCAACCGUGGAGGGUCAUUGGAAACUGGGAGACUUGAGUGCAGAAGAGGAAAGUGGAAUUCCAUGUGUAGCGGUGAAAUGCGUAGAGAUAUGGAGGAACACCAGUGGCGAAGGCGACUUUCUGGUCUGUAACUGACACUGAGGCGCGAAAGCGUGGGGAGCAAACAGGAUUAGAUACCCGGGUAGU